GGGNGCUAUACAUGCAAGUCGAACGAGCUCUCCCAAAUUGAUUUUAUGCUUGCAUAAAUGAUUUUUGGAUUCGGAGCGAGUGGCGAACUGGUGAGUAACACGUGGGUAACCUGCCCCAAAGCGGGGGAUAACAUUUGGAAACAAGUGCUAAUACCGCAUAAUUAGUUGGAACCGCAUGGUUCCAACUUGAAAGAUGGCUCUGCUAUCACUUUGGGAUGGACCCGCGCCGUAUUAGUUAGUUGGUGAGAUAAAAGCCCACCAAGACGAUGAUACGUAGCCGACCUGAGAGGGUAAUCGGCCACAUUGGGACUGAGACACGGCCCAGACUCCUACGGGAGGCAGCAGUAGGGAAUCUUCCACAAUGGACGAAAGUCUGAUGGAGCAACGCCGCGUGAGUGAUGAAGGUUUUCGGAUCGUAAAACUCUGUUGUUAAAGAAGAACAAGUGUUAGAGUAACUGUUAACACUUUGACGGUAUUUAACCAGAAAGCCACGGCUAACUACGUGCCAGCAGCCGCGGUAAUACGUAGGUGGCAAGCGUUGUCCGGAUUUAUUGGGCGUAAAGCGAGCGCAGGCGGUUUUGUAAGUCUGCUGUGAAAGCCCUCAGCUUAACUGAGGAAGUGCAGUGGAAACUACAAAACUUGAGUACAGAAGAGGAAAGUGGAACUCCAUGUGUAGCGGUGAAAUGCGUAGAUAUAUGGAAGAACACCAGUGGCGAAGGCGGCUUUCUGGUCUGUUACUGACGCUGAGGCUCGAAAGCAUGGGUAGCGAACAGGAUUAGAUACCCUGGUAGUCCAUGCCGUAAACGAUGAAUACUAGGUGUUGGAGGGUUUCCGCCCUUCAGUGCCGCAGCUAACGCAUUAAGUAUUCCGCCUGGGGAGUACGACCGCAAGGUUGAAACUCAAAGGAAUUGACGGGGGGGCCCGCACAAGUGGUGGAGCAUGUGGUUUAAUUCGAUGCUACGCGAAGAACCUUACCAGCUCUUGACAUCUUCUGCCAACCCAAGAGAUUGGGCGUUCCCUUCGGGGACAGAAUGACAGGUGGGGCANGGUNNUCGUUCAGCUCGNGNUCGNGAGNAUGNUUGGGNUAAGNUCCCGGCANNCGNNNNNGNCAACCCCNNUUAANUU
rnacentral:rRNA from 2 species